CUCUGGCUGGCUCAGUCCCUAGAGUGUGAGACUCUUGAUCUCAGGGUUGUGGGUUCGAGUCCCUCACUGGGGG
rnacentral:tRNA from 1 species